AGCUGCCAAAGAGGAAGGAACUCUCUCACAGAAGGGAUAGAGUAUUUCCUGAAAUGCAGUCACAUGCCUGCAGCAAUGUUCCCUCUAAGGAGUGGUGGUCACUGAGCGUGCUGCUUCGGUCCAUGAGCGUGCCACUUUGGUCCCAACUUCUCCUUUUGGCGUGGCGCAGUCCACCGCUGAUUAUGGCCGCAUGCCUGGAGCACCUUGGCGAACAUAGUCUGGUCCCCACACCCCACCGCUAGCCUGAGCCCAUGGCAGACUACAGGCUCCAGCAAGUACCAAAAGGGGGAGGUGGCACUGGGAAGCAAGCACGGGGUGUUGCGCUCUGCAACAAAGACCAUUUCCUGCUGCUGCCACAAUGGCAAUGCCAUGCACGCAGCAGAGGCCUGAGUGCCAGAGCUACCGCACAGACAUUGGGCUGCACACAGGUGGUUUAAGGCACUGCACAAGGGACAUUCCACCCCACUGGGCACCAGACACCUUUGUAAAAGCAGCUUCUCCCCGAUGGCCUGGAAGCUCAGCUGUGUAGGGCCCGCCAGCACUAAGGCAGCAGCGUACUCUGAGGCUCCAAAUGCGCCCAGUGCUAGUGUGCACACAAGGGUCCACCCUGCCCAUCCACGAUGGCAGUACGGGCUGCACAGGGAGCAGGGCUGCAGGCAGGAGCUGUGGCAGAGGGUGACAUUCAUGGAAAUAAAAGACAGCCACCACAUUCCUCAUUGAGGGCCAAAGCAUGCAGGAGGCUUGUAUGUGUGUUAUAAAUGCAAAAUAAACAAAAAAGGUUUAUGUCAGUAGUUUAAAAUGCCUUGAGCUAUUAUUAAAUAUUGGUUAUCAGAUCAGCAUCAGCCAAUAUGGUUGGUUAAUCAAUACCAAUAUUGGUCAAUCAAUAUCAAUAUGGUUGGUUAAUCUUGGUAUUGGCCAAGAAAUCUUAAAGGGAGCAGUGCUGUCUCUCUUCCUUUCUCCCUUGGAGGGAGGGAGACCAGAGGAUUGUGGUAUACUCCAUGUCCUUAACACCCAAAAGAAGCAUACAGCAUUCAAGUUAGUGGGAGGGGAGCAGAGUUCCCAACUGUCUGUAAAUUUAUGGACAGACUAUUAAAAUCAAGCCUAAAAAUGCCUGUCCAAAAAGUCUGAGAGCAAAAUGGAGCUGCCCAUAAAAUCUGUAGCUUGACUGAAGAUCUCCCAUCGGAGGCAAGCCUUAAAGGACAGACAGAGCAUAGCAGUGCCACCUGAUGUUUGAGUGAGUGUGCAACACCUGCAAGAAGCUUUUGCUUAGUGCUCUGUAGCUGGUAGUCCUUUCCUCAACAGCCAUGUACUGGUACUGUUUGCAUCACUGCCUGUAACACUGGUGCAGGUAGCAGAAAUAGUCCU